UACGUAGGUAGCAAGCGUUAUUCGGAUUUACUGGGCGUAAAGGGUCCGCAGGGGGCCUGUCAAGUCUGAUGUGAAAUGCCACGGCUCAACCGUGGAACGGCAUUGGAAACUGACGGGCUAGAGUGCAUGAGGGGUGAGCAGAAUUCCUGGUGUAGCGGUGGAAUGCGUAGAUAUCAGGAGGAAUACCGAUGGCGAAGGCGGCUCACUGGCGUGCAACUGACCCUCAGGGACGAAAGCGUGGGUAGCAAACAGGAUUAGAUACCCUGGUAGUCCACGCUGUAAACGGUGUACACUAGAUGUGGGUGGAACUUUGGUCCCAUCCGUGUCUGAGCUAACGCGUUAAGUGUACCGCCUGGGGACUACGGCCGCAAGGUUAAA
rnacentral:rRNA from 1 species